rnacentral:rRNA from 1 species
UACGGAGGGUGCAAGCGUUAUCCGGAUUCACUGGGUUUAAAGGGUGCGUAGGAGGGUAGGUAAGUCAGUGGUGAAAUCUUCGAGCUUAACUCGGAAACUGCCGUUGAUACUAUCUAUCUUGAAUACCGUGGAGGUGAGCGGAAUAUGUCAUGUAGCGGUGAAAUGCUUAGAUAUGACAUAGAACACCAAUUGCGAAGGCAGCUCGCUACACGAAUUUUGACUCUGAGGCACGAAAGCGUGGGGAUCAAACAGG